UACGAAGGGGGCUAGCGUUGCUCGGAAUUACUGGGCGUAAAGGGCGCGUAGGCGGCGCAAGUAGUCAGGCGUGAAAUUCCUGGGCUUAACCUGGGGGCUGCGCUUGAUACGCUUGUGCUAGAGGAUGGGAGAGGCUCGUGGAAUUCCCAGUGUAGAGGUGAAAUUCGUAGAUAUUGGGAAGAACACCGGUGGCGAAGGCGGCGAGCUGGUCCAUUACUGACGCUGAGGCGCGACAGCGUGGGGAGCAAACAGG
rnacentral:rRNA from 1 species